GGUUAUGGCUCAGCGGUAGAGCACUCGCCUUGCACGUGCGGAACCUGGGUUCGAUCCUCAGCACCA
rnacentral:tRNA from 1 species